CCUACGGGAGACUGCAGUGAGGAAUAUUGGUCAAUGGACGCAAGUCUGAACCAGCCAUGCCGCGUGCAGGAAGACGGCUCUAUGAGUUGUAAACUGCUUUUGUACGAGGGUAAACGCAGAUACGCGUAUCUGUCUGCAAGUAUCGUACGAAUAAGGAUCGGCUAACUCCGUGCCAGCAGCCGCGGUAAUACGGAGGAUUCAAGCGUUAUCCGGAUUUAUUGGGUUUAAAGGGUGCGUAGGCGGUCGGUUAAGUUAGAGGUGAAAUUCUGAGGCUCAACUGCAGAAUUGCCUUUGAUACUGUCCGGCUAGAGAGUAGUAGCGGUAGGCGGAAUGUAUGGUGUAGCGGUGAAAUGCUUAGAGAUCACACAGAACACCGAUUGCGAAGGCAGCUUACUAAGCUACAUCUGACGUUGAGGCACGAAAGCGUGGGGAGCAAACAGGAUUAGAUACCCUGGUAGUC
rnacentral:rRNA from 1 species